AUGCGGGGAAGAGAAAAAUCUGAUUUCCCACCGCCUUCAAAUUGCUUGGGGAUAUUCCAUCAUCUUAUGCUGCUGGGGGUGAGAAAUCCUCACAGAAACCUUUAUAAUAAAAAACCUCUGCUGGAGAAUGAUUCUCUACUUAGGGAGAAGAAAUCUUCUGGAAACUUCACUGGGGAAAAGAAAACCAAAGAACCUAUACUUGGGGAAAACCGUAGUAACUAUCCUGACAAAUCUGGAUUGACCUUGAUAUGGUAUUGGUAA